rnacentral:rRNA from 1 species
UACGGAGGGUGCAAGCGUUAUCCGGAAUCACUGGGUUUAAAGGGUGCGUAGGUGGUUUUAUAAGUCAGAUGUGAAAGCCCGGCGCUUAACGUCGGAAUUGCAUUUGAUACUGUAGAACUUGAAUCAGGUUGAGGUGGGCGGAAUGUGGCAUGUAGCGGUGAAAUGCAUAGAUAUGCCAUAGAACACCAAUUGCGAAGGCAGCUCACUGGCCCUGUAUUGACACUGAGGCACGAAAGCGUGGGGAGCGAAC